rnacentral:rRNA from 1 species
UACGGAGGGAGCUAGCGUUGUUCGGAAUUACUGGGCGUAAAGCGCACGUAGGCGGCUUUGUAAGUUAGAGGUGAAAGCCUGGAGCUCAACUCCAGAAUUGCCUUUAAGACUGCAUCGCUUGAAUCCAGGAGAGGUGAGUGGAAUUCCGAGUGUAGAGGUGAAAUUCGUAGAUAUUCGGAAGAACACCAGUGGCGAAGGCGGCUCACUGGACUGGUAUUGACGCUGAGG